GAACAACGAUUCAUUAUAUGCACCAAGAUCAAUGAAACUCACAGAUUAAGCAUAUUGAUUACUUGCACACCUAUACAUUGAGUAGCAGCGUACAUGCACAAUGGAGCAUAUAUAUAACAUAGACUAAUUUCAAGAUUAUUACAAGUAGUUUAAUCGUGUACCCUAAGUCGCUCUCGAACGCUUGAGAUGUAAUUUGCAGCUUUUUCAUCAAUGCUUUCAUCGUAGCCAUUGGAGUCAUAACCCAUACCUGAAUAGGUGUAAGAAUGCUUGUCCUUGGGUUGAUGACGCUGUACUCCAUCA
rnacentral:misc_RNA from 1 species